AGAGGGGCAGUCAGGGCCCCUCCUGCUCCCACCGCCACAAAGGCAAGAGAGGGGCAGGUGCGGCGGAGGGGUGUGGCUGUGGCGAUGUGCUGGAGGGAGGUGUCCUGGAGGCCCUGGGAGAGAGGUCUGGGGACUGGCAGCAACCUGGUGGGUCUCGACCCGCUUCUUUACUGCCUGUGCCUUCCAACCGGGCAGUGACUGCAUCCCUCGGCAUCUCGCCAGGAGAGCGGCCCCUCCUCCCCACUCCUGACGUUGCCUCUCGGGCAUGUGACCUGGACAUUCACUCAGGGCCCCGGCUCAGAAGGGCCCACACUCAGCUUAGUGUCCUGCUGUAGCCAUCUUGAAGUUCUUUAUAGGUUUUGAACAGAGAACCCUGUAUUUUCAUUUUCACCUAGUCCUGCACAUUAGGUCUCUGUCACACGUGCAGCUGCCCCCAGGCCCACAGAAUGUCAGGUCUGAAGUAGAUGGGGUCUCUUGCCUGAGGCCCUCCUACACGUCCCACCUCUUGGGGCCAGGCCUGACCUGCAAGGUCCCCACUCUGGCCCUGCUCAUCCCCUUCCAACCAUUCCUGGAUGCCCACCUGCUGGUUCCUAACCUGCUGGAACGAGCUGCUGAGGCACCACUUUCUCCGAGAAUGUCCCCUGUCCUUUCCUCCCCAGGUGGUCUUGUGAAUAGAGCACUGGACUCCUGGCUCGGCUCAGCCAAAGUGACGCCUGACUGCUGGCAGGCAUGCCUGGAGCCCUGUGCUCAGCACCCCCGCUGCACGGUCACUAGAGUAAGCUCAUCUCCCUGCCUCUAGGCUCCUCCCGGCCCCUGAGCCUUCUCCCUCCUUUCACCUGCUCCUGUGCCGUCAGGCAGGCUGCAGGAGUUCAGCCACCAUCUGUGGGUGACAAGUGGGGCCGCUGGACGGCGCAGAGCACAGUGAGUGGGUAGCUUUAAGCCCCAGCCCCCGAGGACAUCAGAACCCAUUAUAUGCUCACUCCGGGGCUGUGGCUGAGCUCCUGCUGUGUGCCAGACGCGGCGCGUGGAGCUCCAGACAGGAGCAGAAGUCAGGGGUGGGCACCCUGCGCCCACCCUGCCAGGGUACUGGAUGGGGAAGAGCAGUGUGGGCACACUUACGCUGAGACGCAAGGCUGCGGCUGCCCCGAGGAGGUGACCUCUUGAGAGAGGAGCACAGGUGAGGCAAGUGAGGGGGGACAAGCAGGACAAGCACUCCACAGAAGUGAGGGAGCAGCGGGCACCGAGGCAAGAGAGGGGGAGGGCUCUGUCCUGCAGAUAAUUCGCAGCCCUCCCCUGUGCAGGGCACCAUACCAGGUGAUGGGAUUCAAGUGUGAGCAAAGCCCUCUGAGUUUAUGGUGAUGACAGCGCCAAGGAGAGGGACGCUACUGUGAGUGUUGCCGCGGGGAGGGGACUCUGGAGGGGAGAGGGUGCUGGGCUGAGGUCUGAGGGACGAGGAUUCAGGAGGAAAGAAACUUCCAGGAUAAGAAACAGCAUGCAUGGCUUGGAAGGUACCAGGAGGCAGAGCACAGAGCAAGGAGAGGGGCCCACAGGGAGGGCCGGGUUCAGGGACCACUUCUGUCCCCACACAGGGUCUGAGCCUCCCCUGCUCUGACACGGAGGAAAGCAAACCACCUGACAGCUGCUUUGAAGAGUAAAGGAAAUGUCUCUAGGGGGUGCUGAGCACAGCAUCUGUACCAGUGUGCACCCCCUUGAGGCGGCCCCGGCUCCAGGGGACACAUCAGUGGGCUCUCACGUUGAGCAGAAUUGUGUUUCAAAGGAAUGGAGGAGGGGUGACAUAGUUGGCCAGGAUGAGGCCAGGGUAUGUACAGGCGGGGAGGAGGCAGCAAAGCCAUCUCAGUGCCUAGCUCCCAGCCUCAACUCUCCUGCCCUCCGUAGCAUGUGUCACCCCCUGGACCUGUAGCAUACAUAUUUAUGGCUUUUCUUAUUUAUUGAAGGCCUCCCCAGGAGUGGGUGAGCUCCUGGAGCGCAGAGACCGUCUGAUAUAAACUUGGUAUGCACUGAAUGCUCCAUAAUAGGAGUGAAGAGAUGGAGGGGAAGGAUGGUAAGGUGCUAGCAGUUUAGUCCAGGGCCUAGGUGAAUGUAGACGCAGGCGCAUACAUGGGAAACAUCUUUAGAGGGAGACUCAGCAGAGGACCUGGUGCUGGACCAGAUGUGGAGGAGAGAACAGGCGCUACCAAAUACGCACGCACCUGCAAGAAACUGAGCACAUGUGUUCACCACCCAGUCUUUCCAUUCUGGAAACGACGCCGACCACGUGUUCAGUGCUAAGGGAAACGGCGGCAAAGGUUCAGCCCUUGUUCCCGUUAGAAAGCAACGCUCAAGAGGCGGCCGCACGUCCCUCAGAGGGCGGAGACUGGAGCGUGCAUCCUGACAUUUGGGCUGCGUAAAAUAAAAUGACUUAAGUGCUCAGCCCAAGAAGGAGGAAUAAAGCAAACCAAAAGGAAGCAGAAGGAAAGAAAGAGCUGAACCGAGGAAACAGAAUCCUAAGGAUCAACAGAGGAUCAGCAAGAAAACCCCGCGAGCGCACCGAAGCCCCGCCUUCCCCUGCGGAGGGAAACUCCCGCCUGCGACCCCGCGUCCGCGACGGCAGCAAGGCCUGACGUCACCGAGACCGGGCCAAUGGGCUCGGCGUGUUCGCGAGAUAAGUAGCGAAGCUGCAGAAGUCGUAAAUGACUUGCAAACGGCAUCUGGAGGCGUUAAAAACACGAGGGUGGGGCGCCUGGGGGGCUCAGCUGGUUAAGCGUGGGACUUCGGCUCAGGUCAUGAUCUCACGGCUCAUGAGUUCAAGCCCCAGGUUAGC